rnacentral:rRNA from 1 species
UUGACCUCGGAUCAGGUAGGAAUACCCGCUGAACUUAAGCAUAUCAAUAAGGCGGAGGAAAAUUUUUUAAAACC